UGUCAGUAUAUUUUCAAAAGCAAGCAUAGCAGCUUGCUACAGCACUAAAAGAAUCUAAAGUACCUCCGACUGACACUCUGGGGAACAAGAGAUUAUGGGCCAAAAGGAAAAAAAGAAUGUAAAAAAAUAAAGAGAGCCUGAUGGCCUUUGGGGACAUUGUCAAUUAAAUCAAUAUACACAUUAUGGGAGUCUCAGAAAGAGAAAAGAACUAGAGAGGGGCAGAGUGCCUAUGUGAAGAAAUAAUGGCCGAAAAAUUCCCAAAUUUGAGGAACAAAAUAGGCAUACAAAUUUAACAAGCUCAGUGAACUACAACUAAGAUAAAUCCAAAGAAACUCACACCAAGACACAUUAUAAUCAAACCGUUAAAAGUCACAAAGAGGAUACCAUCGAGAUGGAGGGCCAGAGAGUCAUGGCGGUUUUGAUAAUGCUCCAGAGCCUGUAAGGGUUGGUGUUUCCCUUUCAAGAUGCCACUUUCAGACUUUAUUCUGGCCCUGAAGGACAAUCCCUACUUUGGAGCUGGAUUUGGGCUGGUGGGUGUGGGCACAGCCCUGGCCCUGGCCCGGAAGGGUGCCCAACUGGGCCUGGUGGCAUUCCGGCGCCAUUACAUGAUCACACUGGAAGUCCCUGCUCGAGACAGGAGCUAUGCCUGGUUGCUUAGCUGGCUUACCCGUCACAGUACCCGUACUCAGCACCUCAGUGUUGAGACUUCGUACCUUCAGCACGAGAGUGGCCGCAUUUCCACCAAGUUUGAAUUUGUCCCCAGCCCUGGAAACCACUUUAUCUGGUAUCAGGGGAAAUGGAUACGGGUAGAACGAAGUCGAGAGAUGCAGAUGAUAGACUUGCAGACAGGGACUCCUUGGGAAUCUGUCACCUUCACGGCCCUGGGCACUGACCGAAAGGUUUUCUUCAACAUCCUGGAGGAAGCUCGAGAGCUAGCCUUGCAACAGGAGGAAGGGAAAACGGUGAUGUACACAGCUGUGGGCUCUGAAUGGCGCCCCUUUGGCUAUCCCCGCCGCCGGCGACCACUGAAUUCUGUGGUUCUACAACAGGGUCUGGCCGACUGAAUUGUCAGAGAUAUCCGGGAAUUCAUCAAUAACCCCAAGUGGUACACUGACAGAGGGAUUCCCUACAGACGUGGCUACCUGCUUUAUGGGCCCCCUGGUUGCGGAAAGAGCAGUUUUAUCACAGCCCUGGCUGGGCAACUGGAGCACAGCAUCUGCCUGCUGAGUCUCACAGACUCCAGCCUCUCUGAUGACCGGCUCAACCACCUGCUGAGUGUGGCCCCACAGCAGAGCCUGGUGCUCCUGGAGGAUGUGGAUGCUGCUUUUCUCAGUCGAGAUUUGGCUGCAGAAAACCCAGUAAAGUACCAAGGUCUAGGCCGUCUAACGUUCAGUGGACUGCUCAAUGCCUUGGAUGGUGUGGCUUCUACUGAAGCCCGCAUUGUGUUCAUGACCACUAACCAUGUUGACAGACUGGACCCUGCCCUGAUACGCCCAGGGCGAGUAGACCUGAAGGAGUAUGUGGGCUAUUGCUCACACUGGCAACUGACCCAGAUGUUCCAGAGGUUCUAUCCAGGGCAAGCACCUUCCUUGGCUGAGGACUUUGCAGAAAAUGUCCUUAAAGCUACAACCCAGAUCAGUCCUGCCCAUGUGCAGGGUUACUUCAUGCUGUAUAAAAACGAUCCGGCAGGGGCAAGUCACAAUACUGAGUUGCUGAAGAAGUAAUCAGCCAGGCUGUGCUUAUUUAUCCCCCCCAGGAAAUCAAUAAACACCUGCCACACUAAAAAAA